CGCGUAGGCGGUUAAUUAAGUCAGAUGUGAAACCUUAGGGCUCAACCUUAAGUAUGCAUCUGAUACUGGUUAACUUGAGUGUGAGAGAGGAAAGUGGAAUUCCUAGUGUAGCGGUGAAAUGCGUAGAUAUUAGGAGGAACACCAGUGGCGAAGGCGACUUUCUGGCUCAUUACUGACGCUGAGGCGCGAAAGCGUGGGGAGCAAACA
rnacentral:rRNA from 1 species